UACAGAGGGGGCAAGCGUUAUUCGGAAUUAUUGGGCGUAAAGGGCGCGUAGGCGGGAUGGCAAGUCGGUCGUGAAAUCCCUCGGCUCAACCGAGGAACGUCGAUCGAUACUGCUGUUCUUGAGGAUUGCAGAGGAGACUGGAAUUCCCGGUGUAGCGGUGAAAUGUGUAGAGAUCGGGAGGAACACCGGUGGCGAAGGCGGGUCUCUGGGCAAUUCCUGACGCUGAGGCGCGAAAGCGUGGGGAGCAAACGGG
rnacentral:rRNA from 1 species